rnacentral:pre_miRNA from 10 species
UUUAUGUAUCUAUCUGUCUCUUCCAUCCCUCUAUCUACCCACACUGCAUAGGUACAAGGUAGAUAGACGGAUAGAAGAGACAGAUAGUUAUGUGC